rnacentral:rRNA from 1 species
AGCGGCGGACGGGUGAGUAACACGUGGGUAACCUGCCUGUAAGACUGGGAUAACUCCGGGAAACCGGGGCUAAUACCGGAUGGUUGUUUGAACCGCAUGGUUCAAACAUAAAAGGUGGCUUCGGCUACCACUUACAGAUGGACCCGCGGCGCAUUAGCUAGUUGGUGAGGUAACGGCUCACCAAGGCAACGAUGCGUAGCCGACCUGAGAGGGUGAUCGGCCACACUGGGACUGAGACACGGCCCAGACUCCUACGGGAGGCAGCAGUAGGGAAUCUUCCGCAAUGGACGAAAGUCUGACGGAGCAACGCCGCGUGAGUGAUGAAGGUUUUCGGAUCGUAAAGCUCUGUUGUUAGGGAAGAACAAGUACCGUUCGAAUAGGGCGGUACCUUGACGGUACCUAACCAGAAAGCCACGGCUAACUACGUGCCAGCAGCCGCGGUAAUACGUAAGUGGCAAGCGUUGUCCGGAAUUAUUGGGCGUAAAGGGCUCGCAGGCGGUUUCUUAAGUCUGAUGUGAAAGCCCCCGGCUCA